rnacentral:rRNA from 1 species
AGAGUUUGAUCCUGGCUCAGGGUGAACGCUGGCGGCGUGGAUAAGGCAUGCAAGUCGAACGCUCCGCAAGGAGAGUGGCAGACGAGGUAGUAAUACAUAGGUACGCACCUUUCAGUCGGGCACAGCUCGUCGAAAGACGGGGUAAUUCCCGAUGAUCCCUUCGGGGUAAAGGAGCAAUUCGCUGAGAGAGCGGCCUGUGGGAUAUCAGCUAGUUGGUAGGGUAAUGGCCUACCAAGGCUAUGACGUCUAGGGGAGCUGAGAGGCUGACCCCCACCGAUGGAACUGAGAACGGUCCAUACAUCUACGGAUGGCUGCAGCCGAGAAUAUUCCGCAAUGGGCGAAAGCCUGACGGAGCGACGCCGCGUGCUGGAUGAAGUCCUUCGGGACGUAAACAGCUUUUAUGCGUGAGAAAAUUAUUGAUGUUAGCGCAUGAAUAAGAGGCUCCUAACUCUGUGCCAGCAGGAGCGGUAAGACAGAGGCCUCAAGCGUUACCCGGAAUCACUGGGCGUAAAGGGUGUGUAGGCGGUUGUGUUAGUCUUUUGUGAAAGCCCGUGGGCUCAACCCAUGGAACGCAGGGGAAACGGCACGACUAUAGAGGAUGUGAGAGGUGCACGGAACUCAUGGUGUAGGGGUGAAAUCCGUUGAUAUCAUGGGGAACACCAAAUGCGAAGGCAGUGCACUGGCGCAUUCCUGACGCUGAAACACGAAAGCGUGGGGAUCGAACGGGAUUAGAUACCCCGGUAGUCCACGCCCUAAACGAUCCUAACUGGCUUUACGGAGUAUCGACCCUCUGUGAGGCGAAGCAAACGCGUUAAGUUAGGCGCCUGGGUAGUACGAUCGCAAGAUUAAAACUCAAAGGAAUAGACGGGGACUUGCACAAGCGGUGGAUCAUGCGGCUCAAUUCGAUGACAAACGAAGAACCUCACCAGGGUUUGAAACCCAGACGAAAUCCUUAGGAAACUUUGGACCCCGCAAGGCGGCUGGGCAGGUGAUGCAUGGUCGUCGUCAGUUCGUGGCUUGAGUUGUUCCCUUCAGUGGGGUAACGAACGCAACCCUCGUUGCCUGUUUUCUAUGUCAGGCGAGACUGCCCCCUCACGGGGGAGGAAGGUGAGGAUGACGCCAGAUCAGCAUGUCCCUCUGAUAUCCUGGGCUGCACGCAUGAUACAAUGCACUCGACAACGGGUCGCGACGGAGUAAUCCUGAGCUAAUCCUAUAAACGAGUGCCCAGUUCGGAUUGAGGUCUGCAACUCGACCUCAUGAAGCCGGAAUCGCUAGUAAUCGCGGGUCAGCUAUACCGCGGUGAAUACGUUCUCAAGUCUUGUACUCACCGCC